GAUGAACGCUGACAGAAUGCUUAACACAUGCAAGUCAACUGUGGCGGACGGGUGAGUAACGCGUAAAGAACUUGCCUCACGGAUAGGAACAACAUUUGGAAACGAAUGCUACUCACUGAUACUGUGAGAGAGCUUUGCGUCCCAUUAGCUAGUUGGAGAGGUAACGGCUCACAAAGGCGAUGAUGGGUAGCCGGCCUGAGAGGGUGAUCGGCCACAAGGGGACUGAUACACGGCCCUGACGCUUACGGGAGCAAGCAGGUGGGAUUAUUGGACAAUGGACCAAAGUCUGAUCCAGCUAUUCGGUGUGCAAGAUGAAGUUUUCGGAAUGUAAAGUGCUUUCAGUUGGGAAGCAGUACCAACAGAAGAAGUGACGGCUAAAUACGUGCCAGCAGCCGCGGUAAUUC
rnacentral:rRNA from 1 species